rnacentral:rRNA from 1 species
GACGGAGGAUGCAAGCGUUAUCCGGAAUGAUUUGGCGUAAAGCGUCCGCAGGUGGCAGUUCCAGUCUGCUGUCAAAGACCGGGGCUUAACUUCGGAAAGGCAGUGGAAACUGAACAGCUAGAGUAUGGUAGGGGCAGAGGGAAUUCCUGGUGUAGCGGUGAAAUGCGUAGAGAUCAGGAAGAACAUCGGUGGCGAAGGCGCUCUGCUGGACCAUAACUGACACUCAGGGACGAAAGCUAGGGGAGCGAAUGGG